GCUUCUCCUUUGCCUUCUGCCAUGAUUUUAAGUUUCCUGAGGCCUCCCCAGCAAUGUGUGACUGAAACUACGCAUUCAAAAUAACGCUAUCCUCUCAAGUUACUGACCUGCACUGUAUAUAUUUCCUGGUCAUAGGCAGCUUCCACACAAGAACAUCUGUACACAAAAAGAAUUCAGUUACUCAGAUCUAAGUGAUAGAGGAGACUUGGGCUACUCCACCUGAUCACAUCACUGCUGGAUCUCAAAAUCUGCAAGAACAUCCUAGUGCUUCACGAACUUUCACAUGCAU